rnacentral:lncRNA from 1 species
GGCAAUCUUCGGUCGAGGAGAGGGAACGACUGUUAGUCCUCACGGCGGGGCGGCGGUCUAUCGGCGGGCGGCGUCCUCCGUCCGGGGCGGUCGGAGAGAAGGAACAGCAGGUCCUCGCAGCGGGGCGGCGAUCCGUUGGCUGGCGGCGUCCUCCGUCCGGGUGCCUGCACACGAACCGGUGGCCGGGUUCUCCGGCGCCGGCCCUCCGACGCUCAAG